GUGCUCGAAUAACAAUCGUGAUGCCUGGGCUCUUGAGACUUUAGUGCAUCAAAAAAUUAUUCUCUACAAAUCAAGACUCUUUGUAUCCAAAGACUAUUUUAAAGCUAUAAAUCCCAAACUGCCUUUCUUUGCUCUGGUAUCUAGGCACCCCUUUCCUGGGGCGUGGGGUUGGAAAGCCCUGGCUGCCUGCACUGGCAGGUGUGGGGGACUCAUGGGUCCCAUGGAAACCUGUGCAUAGGGUGUGGGGAGUGCAGUGGUUGAGUUUUCAGAGCACAGUCCUCAUCGGCUACCAAAGCAUUUUUCCUGAGGUGGACUCUUAGUAUCAUUUAGCCCCGAAGACUCCCUCCCAGCAGAUCUUUAAACUGUUACACUAAACAUCAGCCUGAGUGACCCAAGCAACCAUACAGACAUGCCCUUGACAACGCUUACACCAAUGAUGGCUUCAGCCAUCUUUCCAACCACUCACUAAGUGCUUCAUUUAGGGAGGCACAAAUUGUCUACUGGUUUUAACAAGGACAUGGAAAGUCCAAAGCUGAUGGUGUCUUCUCAUGCUUGCACAGAUGAGAUAUGGGCAUCAACCCUUUGAUUGGUCUCAGCUUGCUAAGAAAGAUGGCUUUUGGAACACACCAGCCACUCCAAAUAAGCUAAAUCAGGACUCUUGAUCCAGUUCAAUGCAGGCAGACUUAGCUGUAAUCCCUUGCAAAUCUGAUGAAAUGCAGUAGAAGUGAGAGAUUUUUUGGUAAGAAGAUGGUAUCAGUUCCUUAGAUGCUUGCAAGAAAAAAUUCAGGGAAGUUGCAGAAGAACUUCAAGGAGCUCAUGUGUGCGGUCUGGCUUUUAAGCAUCAUUGUCUGUGAAUGUUGACAUCUGCUGAGUGACCUCCAUGGUCCCCCUGACCUCUAGUCUCAGCAACCUCUAUACCUUCUUGGGGUGUACACAGGUGAAGCACAUGGAACUUGAAGGGAUCUCUCCUGCCCUGCAUGGGCCUGCAGGAAACAUGGGCUGGGGGGCUCUGGUGCCUUGAUUAGAUUCGACCACAGCUCCGAUGCUGACACACCCUGCUGGUGCUGGAGGCUCUCAGGAGACUUGUUGCUUCCCUAGGCUCCACUGGAAGUGUGGUUCAGGCUCCCCAGGCACUCAGCUUCUGGCAUUAAUCUAGGGCUUCAGUUCUUUACUGUUAAGGAACUCAGUCCAGGGGAUAUUGAUGCGGGGCAGGUGAGCCCCUAAGUGGGGCUCAGCCUUUGAGGGUUCUUGGCUGCACCCAGCAGAAAAUGGCUUCACUGAAGCAGCAGUGUGGCAGCUCCAUGACCGCUCUUGCAGAGCAGGGCUACCCCAUGAGCAGUGCACUGAGAGUAGCAGCACCUCUAAGCAGUUCUGUAUGCAUGUUUACACCCACUUUUAAUCACAUGUAGAUUAAGGGGUAGUUUAUGCAGGAACUUUUAGAAAAAGUGUGGUAACUUUGAGGUUCUUGGGUCAUUGCCAUAGAAAGGGGUGGUAACUGCCAGGGGUUGCCAUGGUAAUGGUAAGUUGAUGUGGCACACUGAUGGGCAUGUCUUAUGGAAAGCUGCAUCCGCCCAGGCCCUAUUUUAGCCAGUCCUUCAUUUGGUCCAGUGUCUGAGCCUCACCUCUAGAGUGGAGUCUCACUUUUACCUCAGUAUGACACAGCCCUCAGUGGGCUUCUUCAACUCCGCCACCCACUACCUUCCACCCCGAAUGCCUGUCCUUUGCCCCAGUUUCAAGGGUCUUUAUCUGUUUUGAGGGAUGAAGAUGGGAGAGGGAGGGAAA